UUACGGCUAUAUCACGUUAAAACACCGGUUACCCUACGAUCACCGAAGUUAAGCAACAUCGAGCCUAGUCAGUACCUAGAUGAGUGACUGCUUAGGAAACCCAAAUGCU